rnacentral:rRNA from 1 species
CAGCCGCCGCGGGAAUACGGAGGGGGCUAGCGUUGUUCGGAAUUACUGGGCGUAAAGCGCACGUAGGCGGCUUUGUAAGUUAGAGGUGAAAGCCCGGAGCUCAACUCCGGAAUUGCCUUUAAGACUGCAGAGCUAGCAGGUGAGAGAGGUGAGUGGAAUUCCGAGUGUAGAGGUGAAAUUCGUAGAUAUUCGGAAGAACACCAGUGGCGAAGGCGGCUCACUGGCUCAUACUGGACGCUGAGGUGCGAAAGCGUGGGGAGCAAACAGGAUUAGAUACCCGAGUAGUCCCUGUCUCUUAUAC